CCCUCUAAACCCCAUUCUUCUGCCUUCUCCCCAUAACCUUUGACACCCGUACUAGUCACAAACCUAUUAAUCUCUGCUUUAAUAACACCCGAUAUCUUAGUCUCCACCGCCAUCAGUGGCAAUGAAUUCCAGAGAUUCACCACUCUCUGUCGAAGAAAAU